ACAAUGAAGAGUUUGAUCCUGGCUCAGGAUGAACGCUAGCGGCAGGCUUAACACAUGCAAGUCGAGGGGCAGCGCGGAGUAGCAAUACUCUGGCGGCGACCGGCGAAAGGGUGAGUAACGCGUGAGCAACAUGCCCGUAGUUGGGGGAUAGUCGAUGGAAACGUCGCGUAAUACCCCGUAACAACAGUUCCCGCAUGAGGAUUGUUUAAGAGAUUUAUUGUCUACGGAUUGGCUCGCGUGCCAUUAGAUAGUUGGUGAGGUAACGGCCCACCAAGUCGACGAUGGCUAGGGGUUCUGAGAGGAAGGUCCCCCACAUUGGAACUGAGACACGGUCCAGACUCCUACGGGAGGCAGCAGUGAGGAAUAUUGGACAAUGGCCGAGAGGCUGAUCCAGCCAUGCCGCGUGCGGGAUGAAGGCCCUAUGGGUCGUAAACCGCUUUUGUCGGGGAGCAAUAAGGUGUACGUGUACACCGAUGAGAGUACCUGGCGAAUAAGCAUCGGCUAACUCCGUGCCAGCAGCCGCGGUAAUACGGAGGAUGCGAGCGUUAUCCGGAUUUAUUGGGUUUAAAGGGUGCGCAGGCGGUCUGCUAAGUUGGAGGUGAAAAGUCCGGGCUCAACCUGGGUCGUGCAUCCAAUACUGGUGGACUUGAAUGUCCGUGCCGUGGGAGGACUGAGUAGCGUAGCGG
rnacentral:rRNA from 1 species